CUGACUUCUCCAUAGACUGCAGUCCUUUAGGGAUGUACCUGCUCCAAGUGGAGCCUUAUCUAUGAGCCAGUCUCUCCAGGGGUAUGCCUGCUGUGGCAUAGA